rnacentral:rRNA from 1 species
GACGAACCGUGCGAACGUUAUUCGGAAUCACUGGGCUUAAAGCGCGUGUAGGCGGGUCGGCACGUCGGCCGCUGAAAUCCCCCGGCUCAACCGGGGAACGGGCGCCGAUACGGCCGGCCUGGAGGGGGGUAGGGGGAGCCGGAACUCACGGUGGAGCGGUGAAAUGCGUUGAGAUCGUGAGGAACGCCCGUGGCGAAAGCGGGCUCCUGGGCCCCGCCUGACGCUGAGACGCGAAAGCCAGGGGAGCGAACGGG